rnacentral:rRNA from 1 species
UACGUAGGGUGCGAGCGUUGUCCGGAAUUAUUGGGCGUAAAGGGCUCGUAGGCGGUUUGUCGCGUCGGGAGUGAAAACCAGGUGCUUAACACCUGGCUUGCUUUCGAUACGGGCAGACUAGAGGUAUGCAGGGGAGACUGGAAUUCCUGGUGUAGCGGUGGAAUGCGCAGAUAUCAGGAGGAACACCGAUGGCGAAGGCAGGUCUGCUGGGCUGACACUGACGCUCAUGCACGAAAGCGUGGGGAGCAAACAGG